rnacentral:rRNA from 1 species
UCCUACGGGGCGCAGCAGUGAGGAAUAUUGGUCAAUGGUCGGGAGACUGAACCAGCCAAGCCGCGUGAGGGAGGAAGGUACAGAGUAUCGUAAACCUCUUUUGUCAGGGAACAAAGACUGGGACGCAUCCCCGGAUGAGUGUACCUGAAGAAAAAGCAUCGGCUAACUCCGUGCCAGCAGCCGCGGUAAUACGGAGGAUGCGAGCGUUAUCCGGAUUUAUUGGGUUUAAAGGGAGCGCAGGCGGUCUGUUAAGUCAGCGGUCAAAGCCCGGGGCUCAACCCCGGCCCGCCGUUGAAACUUGCCGG